rnacentral:rRNA from 1 species
UGAGGAAUAUUGGUCAAUGGGCGGGAGCCUGAACCAGCCAAGCCGCGUGAGGGAGGAAGGCCCUAUGGGUCGUAAACCUCUUUUGUCAGGGAACAAAAGCGAGUAUGUAUACUAGUCUGAGUGUACCUGAAGAAAAAGCAUCAGCUAACUCCGUGCCAGCAGCCGCGGUAAUACGGAGGAUGCGAGCGUUAUCCGGAUUUAUUGGGUUUAAAGGGUGCGUAGGCGGCGGUGCAAGUCAGCGGUAAAAGCCCGGGGCUCAACCCCGGCGAGCCGUUGAAACUGCAGUGCUAGAGAAGGCGAGAGGUACGCGGAAUGCGCAGUGUAGCGGUGAAAUGCUUAGAUAUUGCGCAGAACUCCGAUUGCGAAGGCAGCGUACUGGCGCCUGACUGACGCUGAGGCACGAAAGCGUGGGGAUCGAACAGGAUUAGAUACCC